AGUAGCAUAGUGGUUAGUGCACAGCCACGGAUAGGUUGAGACGCGGGUUCGAAUCCCGCCU
rnacentral:tRNA from 1 species